rnacentral:rRNA from 1 species
AGCAGCCGCGGUAAUUCCAGCUCCAAUAGCGUAUAUUAAAGUUGCUGCAGUUAAAAAGCUCGUAGUUGAAUUUCGGGGUCAAUAUGUUGGUCGUGCCUUGGUACGUACUAGCUUAUUGAUUUCUCCUUCUGACGAACCAUGAUGUCAUUAAUUUGGUGUCAUGGGGAAUCAGGACUGUUACUUUGAAAAAUUAGAGUGUUUAAAGCAGGCUCGCGCUUGAAUACAUUAGCAUGGAAUAAUGAAAUAGGACAUUUGAUUCUAUUUUGUUGGUUCUAGGAUCGAUGUAAUGAUUAAUAGGGAUAGUUGGGGGCAUUAGUAUUCAAUUGUCAGAGGUGAAAUUCUUGGAUUUAUUGAAGACUAACUACUGCGAAAGCAUUUGCCAAGGAUGUUUUCAUUAAUCAAAACGAAAGUUAGGGGAUCGAAGACGAUCAGAUACCGUCGUAGUCUUAACCAUAAACUAUGCCGACUAGGGAUCGGAUGAUGUUAAUUUUUUAAUGACUCAUUCGGCGCCUUACGGGAA